GGCUACCUGGCGCAAUGGUAGCGCGUUUGGCUUCGAUUGCUGAGUGUUACCAAAAGGUUGCAGGUUCGAGUCCUGCGGUGGUCA
rfam:Gymnopus luxurians FD-317 M1 unplaced genomic scaffold GYMLTscaffold_99, whole genome shotgun sequence.